rnacentral:rRNA from 1 species
UUACGGGAGGCAGCAGCGAGGAAUAUUGCGCAAUGGGCGAAAGCCUGACGCAGUAACGCCGCGUGCGGGACGAAGGCCUUCGGGUCGUAAACCGCUUUUCAGGGGGACGAGCAAGGACGGUACCUCUGGAAUAAGUCUCGGCUAACUACGUGCCAGCAGCCGCGGUAAAACGUAGGAGGCGAGCGUUAUCCGGAUUCACUGGGCGUAAAGCGCAUGUAGGUGGUUCGUCAAGUCGAGUGUGAAAGCCCCUGGCUCAACUGGGGGAGGUCAGUCGAAACUGGCGGACUGGAGGGCCAGAGAGGAAGGUGGAAUUCCCGGUGUAGCGGUGGAAUGCGUAGAGAUCGGGAGGAACACCAGUGGCGAAAGCGGCCUUCUGGCUGGACCCUGACACUGAGAUGCGAAAGCGUGGGGAGCAAACGGGCUUAGAUACCCUGGUAGC